rnacentral:rRNA from 1 species
CACGUAGGGUGCAAGCGUUGUCCGGAAUUAUUGGGCGUAAAGGGCUCGUAGGCGGUCCGUCACGUCGGGAGUGAAAACUCGGGGCUCAACCCCGAGCCUGCUUCCGAUACGGGCGGACUAGAGGUAGGUAGGGGAGAACGGAAUUCCUGGUGUAGCGGUGGAAUGCGCAGAUAUCAGGAGGAACACCGGUGGCGAAGGCGGUUCUCUGGGCCUUACCUGACGCUGAGGAGCGAAAGCCAGGGGAGCAAACGGG